AGCUAUGGGCGUCACCAGGAAUUGGGCGUCAAUUCAUGAGUGGUCUAGGGCAGGCCAAGGGAGCAAAUUCUGAUGGGGGCACGAGGCCAAAGAGCUAGGUAGAUCCGAUAUUGAUGAAUUAAUGCUUUCUGACAAAGGUGAUCUGUUUAUGUUUUCAUGUCCUUACGGUGCAUGACCCUGUGUCCCUGACCCCCAUUUUGGAUGAGAUUCAAGGUAUUUUCGGCUGUCGUAAAUCUAGGCAUUCUGCUUCUUGUACUUAUAAACUGAUUUGUAUUAGGUUGGGCUCUCCUCAAAUGCAUAGAUGAUGCCAUACGAGAUUGGACCGGGUUUUGCCACUCGUUCGGCCAUACUUUCG
rnacentral:lncRNA from 1 species